AUUGAACGCUGGCGGCGUGCCUAACACAUGCAAGUCGAUCGGUAACGCGGGGCAACCUGGCGACGAGAGGCGGACGGGUGAGCAAUAUUUGGGAAUCUGCCUAUUAGUGGGGGAUAACCCGGGGAAACUCGGGCUAAUACCGCAUACGCACUACGGUGGAAAGCGGGGGAUCGCAAGACCUCGCGCUAAUAGAUGAGCCCAAAUCGGAUUAGCUAGUUGGUGAGGUAAUGGCUCACCAAGGCGACGAUCCGUAACUGGUCUGAGAGGACGACCAGUCACACUGGGACUGAGACACGGCCCAGACUCCUACGGGUGGCAG
rnacentral:rRNA from 1 species